UAUGUAUUUUCUUGCAACUAGCAGUUGUUCGAAGAAUGUUAUUGCUUGAGAAUACACGGC
rnacentral:pre_miRNA from 1 species